rnacentral:rRNA from 2 species
GAAGAAUUCAGAGAUGGAUUUGUGCCUUCGGGAACCGUGAGACAGGUGCUGCAUGGCUGUCGUCAGCUCGUGUUGUGAAAUGUUGGGUUAAGUCCCGCAACGAGCGCAACCCUUAUCCUUUGUUGCCAGCGAUUCGGUCGGGAACUCAAAGGAGACUGCCAGUGAUAAACUGGAGGAAGGUGGGGAUGACGUCAAGUCAUCAUGGCCCUUACGACCAGGGCUACACACGUGCUACAAUGGCGCAUACAAAGAGAAGCGACCUCGCGAGAGCAAGCGGACCUCAUAAAGUGCGUCGUAGUCCGGAUUGGAGUCUGCAACUCGACUCCAUGAAGUCGGAAUCGCUAGUAAUCGUGGAUCAGAAUGCCACGGUGAAUACGUUCCCGGGCCUUGUACACACCGCCCGUCACACCAUGGGAGUGGGUUGCAAAAGAAGUAGGUAGCUUAACCUUCGGGAGGGCGCUUACCACUUUGUGAUUCAUGACUGGGGUGAAGUCGUAACAAGGUAACCGUAGGGGAACCUGCGGUUGGAUCACCUCCUUA